GAGCUCAAUAAAGUAAGAUUAUUGUAACCUGCUUUAGUAAUCUGUCCCAAGUAACAUUUUAAACACUUUUAGGCUUUAUACGAAAAGCGCAAGGUUUUAUAAUCGCAUUGAGAAUGCGUUUAAGGCUGUAAAGCGUAUUUCGAGAAGAUCACAAUAUAAAUACCCUUCAGGAUAGUUACAGAACCCUAACACAACUCUCUACUAAAACUCAACUUGAAUUCAAAUUGAUUUCUCUCAUUCAUUUUUAUUUCGGUCUGGAAGGCAGCUACACAACCUUUACAAAACCUUUUUAUACAACUACUGGAAAACGUCAAAACUACAUUGAAAAAGCCUAUAAUAUCACAGAAAAGAAAACUCUGACGGAUAAAAAGCCUAUAUAGGGAUAACAGCGUUGCCAUAUUGAAAUCUGUAUUUUCAUUCGGAAAAUUUGGUUUAGUUUUCGUAUCUUUUAUUGAUUCUGUCUUUAAAUAGUCAUCUGAUUUGCCUCGACCAUACUUCAAAUUCUAUUUUAGUAAACUUUAUGAAAAACGAUGAAAAUCUGUACCGAAUUUCAAAAAUUUGUCACCUGUUCGUACAGAAUCUGUACCAGAAAUAAACUCAAAAAUCUAUAGUUUUCUCGAUAAAUCUGUCAUGUGGCAACCAUAGUCUAAGCCAAUUCAAGUAUCAAUAAUGGCAGCUAAGUGAUAAAUUUCCAAAUCCACUGCAGCAAUCAAAAGGUUCAAGGGCUUUCGAAAUCAUGGUGGAAAAGUUGAUCCUACUUUGCCAGGCCUGCCGCUAUCCUGAUGUUGCGUUCCGUCUCAAUCAUACCACAAAUAUCCGGAUGUUAAUGAUGGGAGGUCACCAAAAGACAGUUCUUCGAGCAACGCAGCAUCAAAAACGGCCUACACAGUACCCCGUUGGCUGUCGGAAUUUUCAUCACCGGAGAGAUUCCGUAGCGUUGGAAAAGAAAUCCGGCUAGAUCGAUCCUUGAAGAGCACCGCAUAAAUGCAAUUUCCGACUACAUCAUAUUAAUAUAAAGAAGUGAUCAAAUUAAUAUUAAGAAGUGAUAGAGUGACUCUUUGAAAAUUAAUAAUUGUGUGUAAUAAAUGAACAAAAAGUGCUCGAAA